GGGCUUGGACUCCAAUGUCAGAUACUAAACUUUAACAUUUAAUUAAGUUUGUGUAAGUUUAAGAAUCAUCGCUUCAAGUUUGGAAUAAUAUCUCCAAAGCUCAUCUCUAUUACAGAUUUCUGAAACGGUUACAAGAAUUGUUCUUUAUAACCGCAGCGCCGUAGCAUUAGGAGGCUUCUGAAACAAGAUAUGUAACCACUUCAUGUGGACAUGUAGCCACUUCAAAGGGGAGAUGCUACCAGUCCAUGUGGAUGUGUAGCCACUUCAUGGGGGAUAAGCAAACCUAUUUUAUUUUCAUAGUUUGGAAAUGUGACCACUCAAUUGAGAUAUUCAACUAUUACACUCCACUGGGAUAUCUAGUCGGUUCUUUGGGAUAUGUGGCCAAUCCGUAGGGAUAGUAUUAUUCCAUCCUCUUUAAUGGACCUCAUUCACCAAUCGUAAACAAACAACAUUUAGUCACAUGACAAUAUUGAUAAAACAACGGAGAAAAAAAACUGUCACGUGAUAGCCAUUGUGUAUUAAAAAUUAGAUCGUAAUUUGGAUAGAAGAGAUAGGAGAAUCACGUGGCUAAAUGUUGUCUGUUUACGAUUGGUGAAUGAGGUCCAUUGGGUAUUCAGAAGGAGGAGCAAGCAUUGAGCUAAGU